UAUCAUCUAGCCGGCCACUGUUUCACAUUAUACGUACUGAUAUACCUGAUCUUAUUGCCUCGUUCUAAUUAUACACAAACUAAUUACUAAGACUAUAUUACGAAUUGAUACUAUAAAGGAAAUAUUAUGUAAGACUCGGUCAAUGUUUGAUAGGCUACUAUGCUUAGUAUGCUUUAUAAAAUAAUUUUUUUCCAAGGGACGCUAAUUAAUCAUAAUUUAAAUAGAGGAAGCCAGGUUGAAACAUUUAU